rnacentral:sRNA from 1 species
UCGAGAGGCUGCUACCGGCAGGCAGACACAGCAGGGCAGGGCCAGGCGUGCAGAGCAAGCAGCCAAGCUGACCUAAUGGCCUGAGAACACCCACAAGUCCACUCCAGCGAGCUACCACGCAGACAUCAACCUGCUCUACUGGAGCGACGAGGAGGCCGUGGUGGACUUCAAGGCUGUGCAGGGCCGCUGCACCGUGGAGUAUGGGGAGGACCUGCCCGAGUGCGUCCAGGUGUACUCCAUGGGCGGCCCCAACCGCUUCUACUUCCUCGAGGCCUAUAAUGCAAAGAGCAAAAGCUUUGAAGAUCCUCCCAACCAUGCCCGUAGCCCUGGAAACAAAGGGAAGGGCAAGGGAAAAGGGAAGGGCAAGCCCAAGUCCCAAGCCUGUGAGCCGAGCGAGCCAGAGAUAGAGAUCAAGCUGCCCAAGCUGCGGACCCUGGACGUGUUUUCUGGCUGCGGGGGGUUGUCGGAGGGAUUCCACCAAGCAGGCAUCUCUGACACGUUGUGGGCCAUCGAGAUGUGGGACCCCGCGGCCCA